ensembl:lncRNA
CAAGACUUCUGUGCAACCUAACUUUGGAAACUGCUUCCUCUUGAAGCAAGAACAGCAGCUAUUAGAAAACUCCUGGAACCCUUAGUUUUCAAAGGGUGUUUUAAAAUAUUCAGUUUGAACUGUAAUGAAUGCCCCUGUAUAGCAUUCACUAAAGGUAUUGCAGGAAAUAUGUUUGAUGUACAUCUCACUUAACAAUUACAUUUUUAUGUUUAAUGUACUGAAAAAAUGUCUGGGAGAUUGCGCACAAACUAUACAACUAUUACGUUUAUAUUGGCUUGCGCUGAACAUUUGCGUGAACGUCUACAAGCUAUUUAAAACUAAGAGGAAGUAAGAAGACAACAAUAUCUAGGCCUAAAUGUUUACAUUUAAGCACAAAAGUGGUGCACAAAAAAUAAAUCAGCUAAAUACAUAUAGGGAGCUCGAGGCAGCUAAGAAGCUGUUUUUCCAAAGCAUGGAAUUGAAGUCAGUCAAAUGAGAAUGAGAUUCCAUAAUGCAGGCCAACGUCGAAGGGUAUUGUCAGAAGCCAGAGGAUUGAUGUUUGACCAGGGCAGUUCUCAGCUAACAGCAUUAAGAGGACAAUACAUAUUCACUUACAGUGGCCACAUGACCCCUGUUAAAGAUGCUAUAUGCCCAGGAGGAAAGGUUGUAGCAAAAUGGCUCAAAUUAAGACCCCACAUCUGUACCUAACGCAAUCAGGAUAACAAGGUCAACGUGCUUGUGUUGCUAAUAGCCAUGUUGUGUUCAGAGCCAACUCUGUUGAUCAUGUUAGGUUUUAGUAUGCUGUGUUGUUGAGUUGUUGUGUGGCCCAUUCACAAGGCUAUUAAAGGGAUUGUGGGGUGACUGUGGGUUAUCCUGUAACUAUCCACCACCAGCCAAACACGUACUAAUGCGACCUGCCAAACCUGGCAACCGACCCUGGCAUACGAGACAUUAUGACUCAACCUAGCACGGCUGGUCUGUGAUGGGUUGAAUGAGGUUGUCGUCUGGAGUGGCCAGAGUGGAUGUGACUUCUCUCAUGUACACUCUCUUUCAGUUUGGCCCCAGUCAUAUGAGCUCUCUUUACAGCCCACAAAUUUCAGGAAGAUCAUUUGCAUUGCAUUUGCAUACCCAGCCCGGUUUGAAUUAAUGUAGAAACUCUCAUAAAAUGUUUCUAUAUGACAGACUCCUGCAUUUUCUACCGCUCUGAUUGUGUGGAUGUUUUCACAUGAAGAAUGAGUCCUGGUUUUUGAAGUGAUUCCAACCUGGAGUACCAGGACCCAUGUGGGUACCGCACAAUAGGAACCCUGGUAAAAUGCAUGUUGGUGUUCCUCAGGUGUAGUCAAGAGAACAACCAAGUAUUGUUGUCUCUUGUGUUUUAUGUUUAUGGCAGACGGAGACUGACAUCCUCAGUGUGUAUGGGGGUGGUGUUCAUGUUGUCUGUGAAUACGGCAGUGUGCGUGUAUCUGCGUGUGUGAUAAUCUCUGUGGGAGCUGUAGAGUCAUUUAUAUUAGGACGUACAGUAGACAUGGCUUAACUGAUUCUGCUAAGCCAGUGUUCCACAAAUAGACGGAUAAUUCUGCGCUGCUACUGACCGACUCAAUGAUGCCAUUCACUGAGCUCAUCACCUUGGAGAGGACAGAGAGCUGAGUCAUGAUGACCGAGACAGACAGACAGUGGAAUGUUUACUUUUUAAAAUUUAAUUUGUGUUAUUUAUUAUACCAUGCCUUUGUUUUUUCCCUUCCCCUGUUUGCUUUGGCAAUCUGAAUACUUGUGUCGCAUGUCAAUAAAGCCCUUGAAAUUGAAAUUGAACUGAAAAAUGUGGUGUUGUGUAAAAGUCGUAAAGUGCUUUUACACAACACCCAGCCUGUAGCAUCCAGGAAAUAUGUGUUAAAGCAGUUGUGGAAGGCUGAUAAGAGAACAGAUCUUGUUGACAUAAUGUUUUUAGAUUGGGUUUCCGGUAGCAGUGUCUAGGAAACCAAUGUACACAUCAUCAUGAAAGGAAAUGGUCCAACCCCAACAACAUUUGUGGUUAUAGUUUUUUAUUAAUCGCUAAGAUACUUGAUUUCCUUCACAACCUAAUGAGCAGUAUUCUUUCUCAUCGUUUGUCAUUGCAUUCACACACAGUGUCAAUUCUUAGCAUAAUUUGCCCAACCAGUAAACACAACUAAACUGUAGCAUCAAUAACCUUAACUGUAGCAUCAUUAAUAAAAAUGUUACGUCAUACAAUGCUAAACCAUUUUUAAUGCUACAUUUGAAAUGUUUUUUUUUUUUUUUUACAGUUAUUUGUUAGCUUGAUAUUUUUCCCCAUGUUAGGGUAUACUGAUAGUUGUUAGUAUUUAUUGGACCAUUGAUUUUGUGGCAUGCAUUUCAUUUUUCUAGAGUCUCAUAUUUUAAAUGAAAUGUUUCAUUCUGGCCAGCAGUGUUUUCAGUUUGGACCUGCAUGUUCACUGUUGAAAAUAUGAAUUCUGCUUGGACAAAUGUGCUCAAGUAAUCGAGAAAAACAGUAAAGACGCAUAGUAGCACAUUGACAACUUUAAGAGAGAGAGAGAAAAAAGAAACUAGGUUACUUUGAAUUACUGAGAAAGAUAGGAGUUUGCUUGUGUUACUGAAACCCAUACUCUACAUGUAAAAUGUACUUCUGUCUUUCAGUUUCUAUUUUGUCAUAUUCACUAAAAUGUGCAUGUUUAGGGUAAAAUAAGCAUUUAACUUUCACUGUUGGAAGCUGUUGUCAGUAAAGCACAUGACAUACUGUACUGAAGCAAGUUACACAUUUGAUUUGAUUUAACCAAUGACACGCUGGUUCUAUGAACAAUAUACACAAAACCAUUUUCCUUAAUUCCUGAUGACCAUUUACCGCCACCCAUAAGCACCUUCCACAUGUUUUCACACAAAUCUCUGUUCCAUGCUCAAUUCUUUGCGAAACUCUACACACAACUCUCAUUGUAAAGCACAAUUGUCACCAUGUUGUCAAGUUGAAAACAUUACCAUUCAGUAACCAUACUCAAGUCAUCGCAAUGCUAACCCUCUCAACAAACAGUUGUUGAGGUGACAACGCUAUCAAGCAUGAGUGGUCAACAAGCAAUCAGGAUGCUGGCAUGAAUAAAAAGGGCUGCAGGUUAGCUCAUCUGUGGUUCGGAAUAAUGUAUGACAACAUCAGAGAGAUAGAGGAAGUGUAACAAUGAGAGGAGGUGGAUGAGGGAGAGGAAGACUAGAAAUUAUCUCUAAUAACAUUUGUGACACCGUGCGUGUAGAUGGUUAUGACAAUGAGGGAAGCUGGGCUGAGAGUACAAACAAACCUGAGCUGUUUCUCUG